rnacentral:rRNA from 1 species
CAAUAGCGUAUAUUAAAGUUGUUGCGGUUAAAAAGCUCGUAGUUGGAUUUCUGCCGAGGACGACCGGUCCGCCCUCCGGGUGAGUAUCUGGUUUGGCCUGGGCAUCUUCUUGGAGAACGUAGCUGCACUUGACUGUGUGGUGCGGUGUCCAGGACUUUUACUUUGAGGAAAUUAGAGUGUUUCAAGCAGGCACACGCCUUGAAUACAUUAGCAUGGAAUAAUAAGAUAGGACCUCGGUUCUAUUUUGUUGGUUUCUAGAGCUGAGGUAAUGAUUAAUAGGGAUAGUUGGGGGCAUUCGUAUUUAACUGUCAGAGGUGAAAUUCUUGGAUUUGUUAAAGACGGACUACUGCUAAAGCAUUUGCCAAGGAUGUUUUCAUUGA